GCCUUUGUGAGGUCAGAGGUGGAGCUCUGGGUGGGCACUCUGGGCCUCUCAGUCCCAGAGGAAAGGCCUGUCCUCCAAGCCAAUGUGCAGCCUGACUCUGGGGCCAGCGCCUGAGGAAGCCCUCCCUGAGCCCCAGCCCUGGGGAAGGCUGAAGAGGCCUCUGAGCCCCCAGCGCUGGGGAGAGCUGUGCAGAAUAGGACUGGAGGUGGAAGUGUUGGAGAUUAACAGCCAGGUUUGGGGGCACACGUGAAGGUUUGACAUAUAGUAAACACAUGUCAUGGUGGUUUGUUGUACAGAUUAUUACAUCACCCAGGUACUAAGCCCAGUACCCAAUAGUUGUCUUUUCUGCUCCUCUCCCUCCUCCCGCCCUCAAGAAGACCCCCGUGUCUGCACUUUCCUUCUUUGUGUUCGUAAGUUCUUAUCAUUUAGCUCCCAAUGCUUUCCAUUCUUUUAGAUAUAUGUGCCCUUGGCAUUUUUGCCCUUUUGGGCCCCUUCUUCCAGCAAAUAAUAAUAAUAGUAAUAAUUAAUUCUAUUUUACAACUAUUGGUAUAAAGACAAAUAUAUUAAUUUUUUUUUUUUUUCCGAGACAGGGUUUCACUCCCGUCACCCAGACUGGAGUACAAUGGUGCGAUCUCAGCUCACUGCAACCUCUGCCUCCUGGGCUUAAGCGAUUCUCCUGCCUUGGCCUCCCAAGUAGCUGGGAUUACAGGUGCCUGCCACCACUCCUGGCUAAUUUUUGUAUUUUUUGUAAAGGCGGAGUUUCUCCAUGUUGCCCAGGCUAGUCUCAAACUCCUGAGCUCAAGCAAUCCACCCGCCUCGGCCUCCCAAAUAAGUGGAAUUAUAGGUGUGAGCCACCACGCCGGCCCUGAUGUAUCAAUAUUAAAACAUUUUCUUCAGCCUACAAGUUCUUCUUUUUCUUAUUUGGAUGCAAACUAAAACAU
rnacentral:lncRNA from 1 species